rnacentral:rRNA from 1 species
UAUCUCUGUAGAGUCUGCAUAUCAAUAAGCGGAGGAAAAGAAACUAACUAGGAUUCCCUCAGUAACGGCGAGUGAAGCGGGAAGAGCUCAAAUUUGAAAUCUUCAAGGUUCUACCUUGACGAAUUGUAGUUUAAAGAAGUGUUUUCUGUUAGAUGAGUAGCAAAAGUUCCUUGGAAUGGGACAUCAUAGAGGGUGAGAAUCCCGUAUUUGACCAUUAUUUCCAGCUUUGUGAUACACUUUCAAAGAGUCGGAUUGUUUGGGAAUGCAGUCCAAAAUGGGUGGUAAAUUUCAUCUAAAGCUAAAUACUGGCGAGAGACCGAUAGCGAACAAGUACCGUGAGGGAAAGAUGAAAAGAACUUUGAAAAGAGAGUUAAAUAGUACGUGAAAUUGUCAAAAGGGAAGCGUUUGACACCAGUGUUGUUUUCUCGAAAAUCAAUUAAAAAAGGCAGGAUUUUGUGUUGUAUUGACUUUAUCAGCUUUCUGCACUCUUUCCUUGUCUUUUUUAAUGCACUUUUCGUUUAACAAGUCAACAUCAAUUUCUUUUGUUGUAAAAGGGUCAUUGGAAGGUGGCUUUCUUUUCGGAGAAAGUGUUUAUAGCCUUUGGCCUCUGCAAUCGGAGAGAUUGAGGUCUGCAGCGUAGAUCCUUCGGGGUUAGAUACAUCUGUGCUAAGUUAUAGCCUUUCAUAGACAACUUGUUGACUAUGAUCAGUCAUGUAGCUUACUCGCUUAUGCUAUUUUACCUACGCUUAGGAUGUUGAAGAUGUAGCACAUCAU